rnacentral:rRNA from 1 species
GACGAACGCUGGCGGCGUGCUUAACACAUGCAAGUCGAGCGGUAAGGCUCCUUCGGGCGUACCCGAGCGGCGAACGGGUGAGUAACACGUGAGUAAUCUGCCCUUCACUUCGGGAUAACCACCGGAAACGGUGGCUAAUACCGAAUACGACCAGUCUUCGCAUGAGGUGCUGGUGGAAAGUCUUUUCGGUGAAGGAUGUGCUCGCGGCCUAUCAGCUUGUUGGUGGGGUAAUGGCCUACCAAGGCUUCGACGGGUAGCCGGCCUGAGAGGGUGACCGGCCACACUGGGACUGAGACACGGCCCAGACUCCUACGGGAGGCAGCAGUGGGGAAUAUUGGACAAUGGGCGAAAGCCUGAUCCAGCAACGCCGCGUGAGGGAUGACGGCCUUCGGGUUGUAAACCUCUUUCAGUACCGACGAAGCGCCCUGUCGGGUGGUGACGGUAGGUACAGAAGAAGGACCGGCCAACUACGUG